UACAGAUAGUGUAGGGGUUAACAUAGCCCGCUUUCAUAGUCCGUAUGGACUGCAGAGCCGGGCAGCCCCGGGUUCGAUUCCCGGUACCGGAA